UACUCCUACGGGAGGCAGCAGUGGGGAAUUUUGGACAAUGGGCGCAAGCCUGAUCCAGCCAUGCCGCGUGCGGGAAGAAGGCCUUCGGGUUGUAAACCGCUUUUGUCAGGGAAGAAAUCCUUUGGGUUAAUACCUCGGAGGGAUGACGGUACCUGAAGAAUAAGCACCGGCUAACUACGUGCCAGCAGCCGCGGUAAUACGUAGGGUGCGAGCGUUAAUCGGAAUUACUGGGCGUAAAGCGUGCGCAGGCGGUCUUGCAAGACAGGUGUGAAAUCCCCGGGCUUAACCUGGGAACUGCACUUGUGACUGCAAGGCUGGAGUACGGCAGAGGGGGAUGGAAUUCCGCGUGUAGCAGUGAAAUGCGUAGAUAUGCGGAGGAACACCGAUGGCGAAGGCAAUCCCCUGGGCCUGUACUGACGCUCAUGCACGAAAGCGUGGGGAGCAAACAGGAUUAGAUACCCUGGUAGUCCACGCCCUAAACGAUGUCAACUGGUUGUUGGACGGCUUGCUGUUCAGUAACGAAGCUAACGCGUGAAGUUGACCGCCUGGGGAGUACGGCCGCAAGGUUGAAACUCAAAUGAAUUGACGG
rnacentral:rRNA from 1 species